CCCUGUGCCAUAUGAUGACCUGUGCCAUCUCAGGGCUCUAGAGAGCCCCCAGCUGCAAGAAAGCUCUCACCAGAUGCACCCCUCAACAUUGGACUUUCCAACCUCCAGAACUAAAACUUAAUGGAAGGAGGAAGAUCAUGAGGAAAUUAGAACUUUUAUAAAAGAAAAGCAAAAGUCCAAAGAUAGUUUUUGACAUUCAAACAGCAUACUGCCAUCGAACGUGGAAGUCAGGAUGACACAGUCAUGAUCUAUGGUUUCUCCAAAAGCCUGUAGCUCCCACUUACUGUAUCAAGAGUUUAACUUCAGGAUUGACCUGGAGAAAAACCAUCACUCCUGGGCCAGAGGGGAUCUGGGGCACAAGACAGAGAAAGCCAGAAAACUAGCACAGCAUGUCUUGAUUCUCUCUACAGGCUUCACUUUGGGUAUCUUAGUUAAACUGGGGAAACAGUGAGGACACUGCCCAUUGUCCCCUUUUGAGCUACCCUUGCUACUCCAAUCUGAGGCACAGCCAGCCACGUGAACUGGGAUCUGGUUUCUGGGAGGUGCAGCUAAGACCCAGGAGUUGCUGAGAAUCUUUUUGGGGAGCUUUCCAAAAGUGGAUGCCAAGCAGGGGUGAGGUGGCUCUGUAGCAAGGACUGCAGAGGUGAUGAGAUGACCACUCAGUCAUAGUCAGGCUCCAGAGGGCCACAGGAAGCAGAGAGAAGGCUGAAUCAGGGAGGUAGCACACCCACCCAGAGUAUCGUCUGAACCAACAGAAGGAACCAUAAGUCACUCCAGUCAUCGACUUCAGACAGUAGAGCCCAGGAAGCAAGAAGAUCUGCAACCCAAGUGCUUUUUUUCUAUCUUAGAGUGGAACUUAACGUGAGAUUCUGGAGAUAGAGAAAUCUGAAAGCUCUCCCUAAAGGGACUAAUUAAAUUAAUGGAUGGAACAAAAUGUAAACAUGAUUAGAGAAUGCAUAAGGCUCACAAAGAAGGUCAGAUCUGUUAAUGACAAAAUAAAAAGAUGAUGUUCUCUUUGCACAUUCAAACUGUAGUGUGAACUAAAAUACUCAACCCUGUCAAACACAUAAUUUAGUUUAAAGAGUUAAACAGCAAGAUGCAGAGGUGAAAUAUUACUUGUUUAAACAAACUUUGACUUUUUAAAAAGCAAUAUCAUCAAGCAUUUCAUUUUGGCUGAAUAUAUUAAGGUUCCUCAGGAAUAUUUGUUUCUUUUGCUGAGCAAUG
rnacentral:lncRNA from 1 species